UCCGGCAGCGGGAGCUUUCGUUUUAUCGAUAGAGAAGACUCUUAAUCGUUUUAGGGGGCAUCCUGCUCUUUCCAACGUCGAACCUAUAGGUAAAUAUGGAGACAAAAAGUCGUCGUCAAUUAUGCGGGACAGAGAAGUGGAAAAUGAAGAGAAAAGGGAACGAAAAUUGAUAGGAAUAGACGGAGGAAUGGAAAUGGGACGUACAUUGAUAUUGUAAAACCUGAGAGUAUUUUAUUGUUGAGAAGCUGAAUAGAAUAUCACAACGUGGACCUA
rnacentral:misc_RNA from 1 species